rnacentral:lncRNA from 1 species
UAUAUAUAUAUAUAUAUAUAUUAAAUUAGUGAUCAGUGAAUAAAAAGAAUCACCAAAUUUAAUAUGGACAACUUUUUCUCCAAACAGAUCAAUUGGAGACCACAAUAGAUGUAUAAUGCUAUGGUAUCUAGAAUCCAAAUACCCCUUUCAGAUUUUAUCAUGCACUCAACAUAAGAAGGCAGAAUGUAAAUGGUAGGUAAGGAAGUUGAAUGCCAAUAGAUAUAUAGCUUAAUAAGACA